AGAGUUUGAUUCUGGCUCAGGAUGAACGCUGGCGGUAUGCUUAACACAUGCAAGUCGAACGAACCCUUCGGGGUGAGUGGCGGACGGGUGAGUAACGCGUGAGGAACUACCUUUAGUUCGGGGACAACAGUUGGAAACGGCUGCUAAUACCGGAUGAGCCGAGAGGUAAAAGAUUUAUUGACUAAAGAAGUACUCGCGUCUGAUUAGCUAGUUGGUGAGGUAAGAGCUUACCAAGGCAACGAUCAGUAGCUGUUCUGAGAGGAAGAUCAGCCACACUGGGACUGAGACACGGCCCAGACUCCUACGGGAGGCAGCAGUGGGGAAUUUUCCGCAAUGGGCGAAAGCCUGACGGAGCAAUACCGCGUGUGGGAGGAAGGCCCUUGGGUCGUAAACCACUUUUCUUAGGGAAGAAGUUCUGACGGUACCUAAGGAAUAAGCCUCGGCUAACUCCGUGCCAGCAGCCGCGGUAAUACGGAGGAGGCAAGCGUUAUCCGGAAUUAUUGGGCGUAAAGAGUCCGUAGGUGGUUUUUCAAGUCUGCUGUCAAAGACAGAAGCUCAACUUCUGAGAGGCAGUGGAAACUGAGAGACUAGAGAAUGGUAGGGGUAGAGGGAAUUCCCAGUGUAGCGGUGAAAUGCGUAGAGAUUGGGAAGAACACCGGUGGCGAAAGCGCUCUACUGGGCCAUAACUGACACUGAGGGACGAAAGCUAGGGUAGCGAAAGGGAUUAGAUACCCCUGUAGUCCUAGCCGUAAACGAUGGGUACUAGGCGUAGCUUGUAUCGACCCGAGCUGUGCCGAAGCAAACGCGUUAAGUACCCCGCCUGGGGAGUACGCACGCAAGUGUGAAACUCAAAGGAAUUGACGGGGGCCCGCACAAGCGGUGGAGUAUGUGGUUUAAUUCGAUGCAACGCGAAGAACCUUACCAAGGCUUGACAUCCCGCGAAUCUUUCAGAGAUGAGAGAGUGCCUUAGGGAACGCGGAGACAGGUGGUGCAUGGCUGUCGUCAGCUCGUGUCGUGAGAUGUUGGGUUAAGUCCCGCAACGAGCGCAACCCUCGUCCUUAGUUGCCAUCAUUAAGUUGGCACUUUAGGGAGACUGCCGGUGACAAACCGGAGGAAGGUGGGGAUGACGUCAAGUCAGCAUGCCCCUUACGCCUUGGGCUACACACGUACUACAAUGGACGGGACAAAGGGCAGCAAACUCGCGAGGGUAAGCGAAUCUCAUCAAACCCGUUCACAGUUCAGAUUGCAGGCUGCAACUCGCCUGCAUGAAGGAGGAAUCGCUAGUAAUCGCCGGUCAGCAUACGGCGGUGAAUACGUUCCCGGGCCUUGCACACACCGCCCGU
rnacentral:rRNA from 1 species